rnacentral:rRNA from 1 species
AUUGAACGCUGGCGGCAUGCCUUACACAUGCAAGUCGAACGGCAGCAUGGAAGAGCUUGCUCUUCUGAUGGCGAGUGGCGAACGGGUGAGUAAAGCAUCGGAACGUACCGUGUAGUGGGGGAUAACGUAGCGAAAGUUACGCUAAUACCGCAUACGCACUGAGGUGGAAAGCAGGGGAUCGCAAGACCUUGCGCUAUACGAGCGGCCGAUGUCAGAUUAGCUAGUUGGUAGGGUAAAGGCUCACCAAGCCAACGAUCUGUAGCUGGUCUGAGAGGACGACCAGCCACACUGGAACUGAGACACGGUCCAGACUCCUACGGGAGGCAGCAGUGGGGGAAUUUUUGGACAAUGGACGCAAGUCUGAUCCAGCCAUUCCGCGUGCAGGAUGAAGGCCCUCGGGUUGUAAACUGCUUUUGUACGGAACGAAAAGGUCUCUCUUAAUACGGGGGGCUCAUGACGGUACCGUAAGAAUAAGCACCGGCUAACUU